GAUGAACGCUGGCGGCGUGCUUAACACAUGCAAGUCGAGCGAGAAGUUUUGAAAAGAUUCUUCGGAUGAAAUUUAAAAUGGAAAGCGGCGGACGGGUGAGUAACGCGUAGGCAACCUGCCCCAUACAAAGGGAUAGCAUUUGGAAACGAAUAUUAAUACCUUAUGAAACUUAACUAGUGCAUGCUAGGUAGGUCAAAGAUUUAUCGGUAUGGGAUGGGCCUGCGUCUGAUUAGCUAGUUGGUGAGGUAACGGCUCACCAAGGCGACGAUCAGUAGCCGACCUGAGAGGGUGAACGGCCACAUUGGAACUGAGACACGGUCCAAACUCCUACGGGAGGCAGCAGUGGGGAAUAUUGCACAAUGGGGGAAACCCUGAUGCAGCAACGCCGCGUGAACGAUGAAGGCCCUUGGGUCGUAAAGUUCUGUUCUAGGUGAUGAAAACUGACAGUAACCUAGGAGAAAGCCCCGGCUAACUCCGUG
rnacentral:rRNA from 1 species